AAACUUACCUGGCAGGGGAGAUACCAUGUUUACAAGGUGGUUUUCACAGAGUGAGCCUUAUUCAUUGCACUCUGGAUGUGCUGACCCCUGUGAUUUCCCCAAAUGAGGGAAACUCAACUGCAUAAUUUACAGUACUGGGGAACUGCAUUUGCAGUCUUCCCUA